GUAUGUCUGUCAGUGUGUGUGUAUCUAUGUCUGUCAGUGUGUGUGUGUAUGUAUAUGUCUCUGUCCAUGUGUCUGUGUGUAUCUAAAUGUCUGUUAGUGUGUGUGUCUGUCUGUUAGUGUGUCUUUGUGUGUCUUCUUCCCUAUCAUUGUGUAUGUGUGUCUGUAUGUCACUGUGUGUUUAUCUGUAUGUCUGUCAGUGUUUGUGUGUAUCUGUGUGUCUAUCUGAAUGUGUAUCAGUUUGUGUAUAUGUAUAUCUGCAUGUGUCAGUGUGUGUAUCUUUGUGUAUGUGUAUCACAGUGUGUGCGUGUGUGGCAGUGUAUGUGUAUAUGUGCAUAUAUCUCAGCAUUCAAACACCAACACUACACACAAAUAAACACCUGCAUGCAAACGUCAACACUACAUACAAACACACCCCUGCAUUCAAAUGUCAAC